CCCUUAGAUGUUCUGGGCCGCACGCGCGCUACACUGUUCGACGCAGCGAGUCUUAACCUUGACCGAAAGGUUUGGGUAAUCUUCAGCAAAGUCGAACGUGAUGGGGAUCGAUCAUUGCAAUUAUUGAUCGUGAACGAGGAAUUCCUAGUAAGUGCAAGUCAUCAGUUUGCGCUGAUUACGUCCCUGCCCUUUGUACACACCGCCCGUCGCUACUACCGAUUGAAUGGUUUAGUGAGAUCUCUGGAUUGACGCUGGCUAGGGGGCGACCCUUGGCCAGACUGUUGAGAAACUGCUCAAACUUGAUCAUUUAGAGGAAGUAAAAGUCGUAACA
rnacentral:rRNA from 1 species